UCACUCACGGGAGGUGCUGAGUGUUGGUGGGGCAGCCCAGCUUUGGGGAUUUUGCUUUCCAUGACAGAGUGCAGCUUGCUAGGCCAGCCAUUGGCUCCAGCCUUGUCACACUCUCUUCAGAAGAGUGAAGACCUACAGUUCAGUCAUGGCCUUGUAUGGUUAGAAGUCCCUCAAGCUCACCAAAAAAAGAAAAAAAAAAAAAAGGAAAAGAAGUACAUGUUGUCAAGAGAAACUGGAGAACUGGAGCCCCUCCAAAAGGUGCCCCAUUGAUUCAAAAGCCAGACACUUCUUUGUCAACAAAGGCAUCCCACAGCGAGAAGUCUGGAGGAUAAAUUGCACUUGGCUCAUUGUUGUGCAAUCAGAAAUUCAUUCAUGUGAGGAAAAAGCAGUUAAAACUUAUGGAAAACCGCCAAAGUAAGCGGCUGCCUAACUGAUUGCUUCUUGGCAGAGACUGAGAUCAAGAUUUACCAAGGAAAGCCCACGAAAAUAUGAACCAAGAGGAAGCUACAGAGCUCAAGAGCAUUACUAAGCUUGGAAACUGGAAUUUCAGUUGCCUUGCAAGGUAUUUCAGAAAAGAAUUACAUAUAUGCAAACACAAGG